CAGUAGCCGCGGUAAUACAGAGGAUGCAAGCGUUAUCCGGAAUGAUUGGGCGUAAAGCGUCUGUAGGUGGCUUUUCAAGUCCGCCGUCAAAUCCCAGGGCUCAACCCUGGACAGGCGGUGGAAACUACCAAGCUGGAGUACGAUAGGGGCAGAGGGAAUUUCCGGUGGAGUGGUGAAAUGCGUUGAGAUCGGAAAGAACACCAACGGCGAAAGCACUCUGCUGGGCCGACACUGACACUGAGAGACGAAAGCUAGGGGAGCAAAUGGGAUUAGAUACCCGUGUAGUCCCUGUCUCUUAUAC
rnacentral:rRNA from 1 species